CAUACCAUUUGCAAACAUAGACAACCCAGGGUAUUACAAAUUGGGUAUGUCCAGUCUUCUUUAGUAGCCACUUCAUCACAAACACUGGCCAAAAUUAGCGUUAAAAUUUGUUUUGUUUUUUUUCAAUUUUCACACACAAACAAAUAUGAACGCUAAUUUUGGCCAGUGUUUGUGACAAAGUGGCUACUAAAAAAGACUCAACAUAUCCCAUUUGCAAUACCUUGGGUUGUCUACUUUUGCAAAUGGUAUG